rnacentral:rRNA from 1 species
AUUUAAAGAGUGCGUAAUAGCUCACUGGACGAGUGACUCUGCGCCGAAAAUGUACCGCGGCUAAACGUAUCACCGAAGCUGUGGAUUGACAUCUUAGAUGUCAGUGGUAGGAGAGCGUUCUAAGUGCUGUGAAGUCAGACCGUAAGGACUGGUGGAGCGCUUAGAAGUGAGAAUGCCGGUAUGAGUAGCGAAAGACAAGUGAGAAUCUUGUCCACCGAAUGCC